UACGUAGGAGGCAAGCGUUGUCCGGAAUUACUGGGCGUAAAGCGCGUGUAGGUGGUGGGACAAGUCUGCUGUGAAAGCGCCUGGCUUAACCGGGCGAGGUCGGCGGAAACUGUCCGACUCGAGGACGGUAGAGGGGGGUGGAAUUCCCGGUGUAGUGGUGAAAUGCGUAGAGAUCGGGAGGAACACCUGUGGCGAAAGGCGGCCCCCCUGGGCCGGCCCCUGACACUGAGACGCGAAGGCGUGGGGGAGCGAACGGG
rnacentral:rRNA from 1 species